rnacentral:rRNA from 1 species
UACGUAGGGUGCAAGCGUUAAUCGGAAUUACUGGGCGUAAAGCGUGCGCAGGCGGUUAUGCAAGACAGAUGUGAAAUCCCCGGGCUCAACCUGGGAACUGCAUUUGUGACUGCAUGGCUAGAGUACGGUAGAGGGGGAUGGAAUUCCGCGUGUAGCAGUGAAAUGCGUAGAUAUGCGGAGGAACACCGAUGGCGAAGGCAAUCCCCUGGACCCGUACUGACGCUCAUGCACGAAAGCGUGGGGAGCAAACAGG